AGCUUGCUCCAGACCCAAAGACGGGAGAGGAAACCCGGGCUAGGAGGAGCUGAGGCAGCAGCGGUGGCUGGGAUGGGGAUGGCCGCUGGGAUGGACGUCUCUCUGCAAAAUCCCUUUCCCAUGGAGAGCCAGAAUAAGUGGGGAGGGAAGGGAUUUGGCAGCACCGUCACCUAGACUGACUUGUCACAUCAUCCAGUCCUAGGUGCCAGCAUCCCUAGCAAAAAUGUCAAUGAAAAGGAGUCAUUGCCUCAUAUGCUGCAAAAACCCCUCCAGUGAUCUUUGCCAGUAUUGAAGCUCCUGUGAAGAAAAGACAUCUGACAUUUUAAAACUUUGGUCUGGCCAAACCACCUAAUGUCAUUCCUGCUUCCUCUUCCCAGACAACCAAUCCUUGCUUUAAAUUGCCCAAGAGCCAACAGUGCUACCUUGCCACACAGAUUACACCUCCCACCACCAUGCAUCUUUCCUGCAUGCUUAGUAAGUCGCCUCCAUGAAGGGUUAAUUCAACCAGGGCCUUUUACUCCAAGUUGUUUUCCAAGUAGCUGAGAGAAUAGGUCUCUUGUUACAAACAUGGCUUCUGGGCAUUUGGUGAUGCUUUCCCUUUUCUCUCUCUCUGUACCACAAAAGAAUCUUUUGUUCUUGUCCCUCUGUCUCAUUUACUCUCCCCCACCCAGCUCUCGCCUCUUCCCUCCAUUGGCUGCCAAGUGACUAAGGAAUGGCAAAAAAUGACCAUAGCUGGUCAUGGCAAAUAUUUCUUCAGCUAUUAUCUGAUAGAGACCUUGAGCAUCUAUGUGAAGGGCCCUCUGCCUUCCCUCAGGCUUCUCCUAGAGAUAGGGGAAAAUGAGUCGGACACAACAGGGCAGGAUAUAAGUUGAAUCAGUCCAACAUGCUAAUGGAAAUGUCUUUCAAAUGGAGUCAUGGUGCCUGUUUCAGGAAAAUCAAAUGAUAGGGACCCAGAGCUGGCAGGAGUCCAGUGGAAGCUUCAGUCUGCAUUUAUUAAAAAACACAUGGGAGACACAAAAAAGUCACUUUCUGGCUUCCGCAUUUACUGAUUCAGCUGUUUGUAAGCUGGAAUCAACACUCUUUGUUGGAUAGAUUGUAAUGUCAUAUAGUUUCUCUGCACUAUUGCUAUAAAUCUGGUUGUGCGUGAUCUCCUACCACAGAAAAGCUGUGACAAAUCCCCAUGGACAUCAUGUCUUCCCACACCCCAUUGAAUUACCUCAGGCAUUCCCACAGACAUCCUUCUAGAUAUAGCCCCUUGCACAUACUGCUUCACUGAGUCAUUUUACACAUACAUACAUAGAUAUGUAAAAGUUCACAUGAUGCUAAACUCACUGCAAUUUCCACGAUGAUUUUUCUGCAACAGAAACAAUUCCCCAGCCAGAUUCCUACCUCCCUACCUUUUAGAGCAUUUGGGUAUACCCUUCACUGAUACUGCCUUCUGCAAGAAAAUCAAAUUCUUCAGUCUCACCUGAAGCAAAUCUUGCUGGUUUUGCCUUUCUGCUCAUCUUCCACAGACCCUCUUCACUACUCUGACUACCAUUUGUCCAAGUCCAUCUCAGUUUGUGUUGUUCUUUAGGUGAACAUGGCAUAUACUGCCUGGCUCCAUCUGCCAAGCUUUCUGUACUCUUCUUGCAUUCAGUGCCUUAACUAUUUUGGAAAGCCCUUGAAACAAUCAUUACCUUUCAGCCUUAGUGACUUCCCGCACACACGUGUACAAAGCUGUGGAUUUAAGGCGUUAUCUGGAGAAUUUUUAUUCCUGUAGAGAAGGGAAAUGGACUAUACAGGUAAAUGGACCAUUAUAUACCCACAUUAGAAGGACUUGUCUGGUGGAUUUUAACCAAGCUGGUUAAAACAUCAUGAAAACAGUGCACUGACAAACUCCUUAUAUUCAUAUGACUGUGCUCACAAUUAAGAUUUGUGCCAAGUCAACUGUAUCUGUUUUGAAGCUGCAUGCAGAGCAGCUUUCAUUGUAAAGCAUCAAACCCAUCUAAUAUGUAACAAUUAAGGAACAUAUAAUAAUGCCUCCUGGUUUGAUAGCAUCUAAAUGAAUCCCAACAUAGACAGAGAAGUCCUUAUUGCAAUCCCAGCUGUGCUCCCCUGUCCUCACAGUAGCUCUAUCAUACAGGGUGCUCGCCAGGAGCGUACAGUCAGCCUUAGUAGAUAAACACUGAUCAUCUCCAUCGCAAAGCAUAACUGAAGCACCCUGAGAUGAAGAAUUUUACCCGUCAGAAAAGCAAGUCUCUGGCAGAACCAGAAACUCAUUAAUUCAAAUGUUGUGCAUCUAAUGCUACAAACACUAACCUCCCCACCAAGCAGUGCCCCGAUAAAGCAAUGCAUUGCUGGAUCCUCUUAGAAACCCCUGUUUAGCAAUGGUGAAACAAGGAAAAGGAUUUGCUUCUCCCUGGCUCCAGUUCCCCUUUACAGGGUGAGAUCCCACAGUCCUGCAAUGGAGACUACUGCAGUCAAAGGCAGUACACUGCCUAGAGGGCCCCGUCAGGGUCAUCUUUGCACACUGUGGAGACCAAGAGGUCAGCUGUUGAAGUCCCUUUGGAAAAAGAGAGUCUACCACCAUCUCUUUCACAGAUGUGAAGCCCAAGGAUGGAUUAUGGAUAGAUAAUUUUGGAUGAAUCAAGAAAAGAGAGGAGGAAUAGCUGGAUGGCUAAAUAAAGCCAAU